CUCUGGGGGGCAGAUCUGGGGGAUGCAGGCGAUGCUCCGAUCCAUCUCUCACCCUGUGGCUGCUCCCCCAGGACCGGGCUGGCAGGAGCGCCCGGCUACAGUGCCUGGAGCAUCUCCUGAGCCACUCAUGGCACCCAGCGGUGCCAGGGCAGGCUGGGUGCUCCCCGGCGACUGGGACCACCCUGGGGUCACCCUGCCGGCAUAACCCACUCCCUGACAGUGCCCUGGGGACAGGCCUUUUGCCAGCAGUGAUCAGGUGAGUCCCAUAACCCAAGGGUGCUCCAUGCCUUGGGGGGAGGCUGCUUGCCCAGUGUGGGCUUCUGCACCCAGCAGCCCCAGGGCAUCCUUUGCAGAGGCACCUUCGGGCAUGCUGAGCUCUUCCUCUCCACCCGUGGCCCAUCCCUUCCCCCUCAUCUCUGCUCUCCAGCCAUGCACUCCACAUCCUGCGUGGCCUCCAAGAGCAAAUCCAGCAUCACCUUAGGGAGCUGCGGAGGGAGGAUGGAGCCCAGGGGCCCACUGACCAGAGGAAGAAGGUGAUUUGAGCAAAGGGAUGGGGAGGAGAGUCUCACCCUACACAGCCAUGGUGGGCUUUGGACUGAUGGUGUCUGACCCCUGGAUCCCUGGGCUGUGCUCUGUGCCACACGGUGGGGGAGGUCAGGCCUGAGGGAAGCCUUGGGACUUCCUUGACCUGUCUGUGCAAGUCCAUCACCUUGUCUGGGGCAGAGCUGGGCUGGCAGCCCCGCAGAGACACCCCACAGUGGCCAAGGGGUGGCUGUUGCCAGGCUCUAUCUCAUGGUCUUGCACCCUCUGCCUGCUCCCUGGGGCAGAGCAGUGGUGGAGCCGGGCAGGUUCUCCCCUCCCCUCGGCCAGUUGCAGAGCCCCCAGUCCCUCUCUGCAGCUGUGAAGAUCCUGGAUGGGAUCCAUGACAGGCAUCAGCCCUUAGAUGAGUCUGAAUUACGCAUCCUUGGAGUCCACGUCCUGGAGCGUGAGGCGGUGGGAUGCCUGCUAGAGAUCAGUCCCUCUCCAGGCACAAGUAGACCCCUUAUGUGGGCUGCAGGUGAGUGGGGCCACCUGUGUUUCUGUCCUGUGCAGGAGCAUGAGCAGAGGUGUCAGCGAGAGCAGCUUUGCAUGGAGAAGGCAACAUCUCUGGGAGCCCUGAAGGAUCAGCUGAUCCAGAGACGGGGUGAACAGCGACACCUCCAUCCCACCUCCCUGUCCAUGGGCACCAUGCCUGGCCUCCAACAGCAUGGCUGGGGGUCCCUGGGGCUCCUGCACCAUGUCCAGUGCUGCGUGCAGGAGCUGCAGCAGGAGAAGACACACCACAUGGGCAGCCUGGGAAACCUGUGUGCCCCAGGAGGAGAGCUGAGCACCACAGCGAGAAGUGGGGUAUGGGGACAGCCUGGUCAAAGGGACUCAACUUCUGCCCCAGCCUCACCCAAGCAAGAAGAGAAGAGCUGCACCACAGAGCAUCCCUGGUAGGAAGAAGUCCUGCAGUGGGGUGAGGACACCAGAGUUUUGUUUCUAACCUAGAGACCAUAGGCAGAUCCCCCCGCCACCAUAAAUCUGUGUGUCACAGGGCUAGACAUGCCAGGAUCAUUUUUUGAAGGCUGAGGGACAUGCUGGUGGGAGGACCAUGGAGGUCCUAGGGAGCCCUCUCCUGGGUUUGCCUGGAUGAGGCACAGGCUUCCCUACACUCCUCUCCCCACUCUGUGGCUUCUUCUCUGCUCUGCCCAAUCUCCUAUCUCCUACCCUGGGACGUAGCCAUGGAACACAUCUCACAGACAGGUUGGAGGUGACAUUUCCUUUUCUGUUCCGCCACAAGGACAAACAUUUUUGUGGAAUCUGGCUCUUUCUCUGCUGUGACAGAGGCUCCUGAUGGGCCCAAAUGCCACUGGUCCCCCACACCUUGGCAUGAAUGGCAGGAACGAGCAAGUUAUGCUGCCUGAGGGCACUGGAGAGACCUGGCAAGCCCAGACUUCCACCGUUAAUAAGCUGGCUCUAUUGAAGUGUCUGAGCAAGUGCCAGAGGGUGGGCAGAAGUGCAGAGACAGCACGCAGAGGCUGCAGUGAGGCCCAGGUGUUACAGUCACGGGGUUGCAUCAACUUGCCAUGGACACAAUUGCAAAGCUCCUGCAGAUGCCUCAUUACAAAGGGCUGCGUGGCUUGACCCUGGCAAGUGGCCCCAGGCGAGCAGGACCUGGCCACAACGGCCAACCCGGGGGCACUGACCCUGGGGUGGCCACAGGCAGAGAUGUGUAAUGAAAACAACAAUGGGGAACUGUUCUGUUUAGAUGCUUUAAUUUAAUUUUGAGAAGGAGAAACAUAUUUCUCAGUCUCUACACAUCUCACCAGAGAGAAUGCUGGGUUUAAUCUGCUGGAGAAUGUCCAAGGAGAGUCGCUCCGUGGGCAAGGGGGAAAAUGAGAAUUUCUUGCAGUAAUUUAUUACUACGCCUUCUUCCACGGGAAGGGAGGAGAUGAGAAUUGAAAUAUCUGUAUGCUUUCUUUCCAAUUAAAAUAAAAGUGUUUUUCAUUAUGUUUUUCUGCA
rnacentral:lncRNA from 1 species